rnacentral:rRNA from 1 species
CUACGGGAGGCAGCAGUGAGGAAUAUUGGUCAAUGGGCGGAAGCCUGAACCAGCCAAGUAGCGUGCAGGAUGACGGCCCUACGGGUUGUAAACUGCUUUUAUCCGGGAAUAACGCGCCUUACGUUUAGGGCUUUCCCUUUACCGUUUGAAUAAGGACCGGCUAAUUCCGUGCCCGCAGCCGCGGUCAUACGGAAGGUCCGGGCGUGAUCCGGAUUUGUUGGGUUUAAAGGGAGCGUAGGCCGCAUGUCAAGCGUGCUGUGAAAGGUCCGGGCUAAACCCGGGCCGUGCAGCGCGAACUGGCGGGCUUGAGUCCGCGGAAGGCAGGCGGAAUUCGUCGUGUAGCGGUGAAAUGCUUAGAUAUGACGAAGAACCCCGAUUGCGAAGGCAGCUUGCUGCAGCGGAACUGACGCUGAUGCUCGAAAGCGCGGGUAUCGAACAGGAUUAGAUACCCCAGUAGUC